rnacentral:rRNA from 1 species
AGAAUCAACGCUGGCGGCGUGCCUCAGACAUGCAAGUCGAACGCGAAAGUCCCCUUCGGGGACAAGUAGAGUGGCGCACGGGUGAGUAACACGUAGGUAAUCUACCUUCGGAUGGGGAAUAGCAACCGGAAACGGUUGCUAAUACGCAUAAUGCAGCGGCACCUAAUGGUGACAGUUGUUAAAGCGGGGAUUGAAAGACCUCGCGUCUGAAGAGGAGCCUGCGGCGGAUUAGC